rnacentral:rRNA from 1 species
UUGCUCCUGGUGACGAGCGGCGGACGGGCGAGUAAUGUCUGGGAACUGCCUGAUGGAGGGGGAUAACUACUGGAAACGGUAGCUAAUACCGCAUAACGUCGCAAGACCAAAGAGGGGGACCUUCGGGCCUCUUGCCAUCAGAUGUGCCCAGAUGGGAUUAGCUAGUAGGUGGGGUAAUGGCUCGCCUAGGCGACGAUCCCUAGCUGGUCUGAGAGGAUGACCAGCCACACUGGAACUGAGACACGGUCCAGACUCCUACGGGAGGCAGCAGUGGGGAAUAUUGCACAAUGGGCGCAAGCCUGAUGCAGCCAUGCCGCGUGUGUGAAGAAGGCCUUCGGGUUGCAAGCACUUUCAGCGAGGAGGAAGGUGGUGAGCUUAAUACGCUCAUCAAUUGACGUUACUCGCAGAAGAAGCACCGGCCAACUCCGUGCCAGCAGCCGCGGUAAUACGGAGGGUGCAAGCGUUAAUCGGAAUUACUGGGCGUAAAGCGCGCGCAGGCGGUUUGUUAAGUCAGAUGUGAAAUCCCCGGGCUCAACCUGGGAACUGCAUUUGAAACUGGCAAGCUAGAGUCUCGUAGAGGGGGGUAGAAUUCCAGGUGUAGCGGUGAAAUGCGUAGAGAUCUGGAGG